UGGGGAAUCUUCCGCAAUGGGCGAAAGCCUGACGGAGCAAUGCCGCGUGAGUGAAGAAGGCCUUCGGGUUGUAAAACUCUGUCCUUAUCGAAGAGAGGUGGGUAUGUGAAUAAUGUACCUAUAGGACGGUAGAUAAGGAGGAAGCCCCGGCUAACUACGUGCCAGCAGCCGCGGUAAUACGUAGGGGGCGAGCGUUGUCCGGAUUUACUGGGUGUAAAGGGAGCGUAGACGGACUGGCAAGUCUGAUGUGAAAAGCCCGGGGCUCAACCCCGGGACUGCAUUGGAAACUGUUGAGCUGGAGUGCAGGAGAGGUAAGCGGAAUUCCUAGUGUAGCGGUGAAAUGCGUAGAUAUUAGGAGGAACACCAGUGGCGAAGGCGGACUUACUGGACUGUAACUGACGUUGAGGCUCGAAAGCGUGGGGAGCAAACAGGAUUAGAUACCC
rnacentral:rRNA from 1 species